rnacentral:lncRNA from 1 species
GGCCACCUCGUCGCCCCGGCCACCGUUGACGACCGCGCGCAAGAGGUCCGCCGCGCCGGCCGGCACUGGCGCCGGGAGGGCCUUUUUUUUAAGUUAGAAAAUUAAGUUAGAUUUUUGUAUAUGUGUUUAAGUUAGAUUUUUAAGUUAGAUUUUUUUAAGUUAGAUUUUUAAGUUAGAUUUUUUUAAGUUAGAUUUUUAAGUUAGAUUUUUAAGUUAGAUUUUUUUUAAGUACGAUUUUUGUAUAUGUGUCCCCUCCGCUGUCCUGCCGCCGUGACCGCCGCCGUCAACACCUAGUAGGCACCGCCCGUGGUUCCGGGGAACCGUCCCCGCCUCCGCCGUACCGCCGCCCUGACCGCCGCCGUCACAACCUAGGCACCACCCGUGGUUCCGGGGAACCGUCCCCGCCUCCGCCGUACCACUGCCCUGACCGCCGCCCUGACCGCCGCCGUCACAACCUAGGCACCGCAUGUGGUUAUUGCUAGAAAUUCGUAAAAAUUCAUGUUAUUGCUAGAAAUUCGUAAAAAUUCAUGUUAUUGCUAGAAAUUCGUAAAAAUUCAUGUUAUUGCUAGAAAUUCGUAAAAAUUCAUGUUAUUGCUAGAAAUUCGUAAAAAUUCAUGUUAUUGCUAGAAAUUCGUAAAAAUUCAUGUUAUUCCUAGAAAUUCGUAAAAAUUCAUGUUAUUGCUAGAAAUUCGUCAC